rnacentral:piRNA from 1 species
UCCCACGACAGACUGAAGAGACAAGGA